rnacentral:rRNA from 1 species
GACGAACGCUGGCGGCGUGCUUAACACAUGCAAGUCGAACGGAAAGACCCUGCUUUUGUGGGGUGCUCGAGUGGCGAACGGGUGAGUAACACGUGAGUAACCUGCCCUUGACUUUGGGAUAACUUCAGGAAACUGGGGCUAAUACCGGAUAGGAGCUCCUGCUGCAUGGUGGGGGUUGGAAAGUUUCGGCGGUUGGGGAUGGACUCGCGGCUUAUCAGCUUGUUGGUGGGGUAGUGGCUUACCAAGGCUUUGACGGGUAGCCGGCCUGAGAGGGUGACCGGCGACAUUGGGACUGAGAUACGGCCCAGACUCCUACGGGAGGCAGCAGUGGGGAAUAUUGCACAAUGGGCGGAAGCCUGAUGCAGCAACGCCGCGUGCGGGAUGACGGCCUUCGGGUGGUAAACCGCUUUGGCCUGUGACGAAGCGUGAGUGACGGUAAUGGGUAAAGAAGCACCGGCUAACUACGUG